CAGCCGCCGCGGUAAUACGUAGGGGGCAAGCGUUGUCCGGAAUCAUUGGGCGUAAAGCGAGCGUAGGCGGCCCGAUAAGUCUGCUGUGAAAGUCAACGGCUCAACCGUUGAAAGCCGGUGGAUACUGUCGGGCUAGAGUUCGGAAGAGGCAAGUGGAAUUCCUGGUGUAGCGGUGGAAUGCGCAGAUAUCAGGAGGAACACCCAUAGCGAAGGCAGCUUGCUGGGACGAUACUGACGCUAAGGCUCGAAAGCGUGGGGAGCGAACAGG
rnacentral:rRNA from 1 species